ensembl:snoRNA
AUCUUUUUGUAGUUCUUAAGUGUGAUGAUUGGGUGUUCUUGCUGUUGUGUGAGAUGUGCCUCCCACAAACCUUGUUACAAUGUCAGCACAUUACCCGUCUGACG